rnacentral:rRNA from 1 species
CCUGCGGAGGGAUCAUUACCGAGUUAUACAACUCAUCAACCCUGUGAACAUACCUAAAACGUUGCUUCGGCGGGAACAGACGGCCCUGUAACAACGGGCCGCCCCCGCCAGAGGACCCCUAACUCUGUUUUUAUAAUGUUUUUCUGAGUAAACAAGCAAAUAAAUUAAAACUUUCAACAACGGAUCUCUUGGCUCUGGCAUCGAUGAAGAACGCAGCGAAAUGCGAUAAGUAAUGUGAAUUGCAGAAUUCAGUGAAUCAUCGAAUCUUUGAACGCACAUUGCGCCCGCCAGUAUUCUGGCGGGCAUGCCUGUUCGAGCGUCAUUACAACCCUCAGGCCCCCGGGCCUGGCGUUGGGGAUCGGCGGAAGCCCCCUGUGGGCACACGCCGUCCCUCAAAUACAGUGGCGGUCCCGCCGCAGCUUCCAUUGCGUAGUAGCUAACACCUCGCAACUGGAGAGCGGCGCGGCCAUGCCGUAAAACACCCAACUUCUGAAUGUUGACCUCGAAUCAGGUAGGAAUACCCGCUGAACUUAAGCAUAUCAAUAAG